CUACGUAGGGGGCGAGCGUUGUCCGGAAUGAUUGGGUGUAAAGGGAGCGUAGGCGGGAGUGCAAGUCAGAUGUGAAAUACGUGGGCUCAACCCAUGGGCUGCAUUUGAAACUGCAUUUCUUGAGUGAAGUAGAGGUAAGCGGAAUUCCUGGUGUAGCGGUGAAAUGCGUAGAUAUCAGGAGGAACACCGGUGGCGAAGGCGGCUUACUGGGCUUUUACUGACGCUGAGGCUCGAAAGCGUGGGGAGCAAACAGGAUUAGAUACCCUGGUAGUCCACGCUGUAAACGAUGAUUACUAGGUGUGGGGGGACUGACCCCUUCCGUGCCGCAGUUAACACAAUAAGUAAUCCACCUGGGGAGUACGGCCGCAAGGUUGAAACUCAAAUGAAUUGACGGGG
rnacentral:rRNA from 1 species